rnacentral:rRNA from 1 species
AUUGAACGCUGGCGGCAGGCCUAACACAUGCAAGUCGAGCGAGCGGCGGACGGGUGAGUAAUGUCUGGGAACCUGCCUGAUGGAGGGGGAUAACUACUGGACACGGUAGCUAAUACCGCAUACCAUCAGAUGUGCCCAGGUGGGAUUAGCUGGUAGGUGGGGUAACGGCUCACCUAGGCGACGAUCCCUAGCUGGUCUGAGAGGAUGACCAGACACACUGGAACUGAGACACGGUACAGACUACUACGGGAGGCAGCAGUGGGGAAUAUUGCACAAUGGGCGCAAGCCUGAUGCAGCCAUGCCGCGUGUGUGAAGAAGGCCGUCGGGUUGUAAAGCACGUGCAGCGGGGAGGCGUUACCCGCAGAAGAAGCACCGGCUAACUCCGUGCCAGCAGCCGCGGUAAUAC